UACGUAGGGGGCGAGCGUUUUCCGGAUUUAUUGGGCGUAAAGCGUGUGUAGGCGGUUUAUUAAGUUUAAGAUUAAAGCCUGGAGCUUAACUCCAGUUCGUCUUAAAAACUGGUAAACUCGAGUAUGGUAGAGGCAAACGGAAUUUCUAGUGUAGCGGUGAAAUGCGUAGAUAUUAGAAGGAACACCAGUGGCGAAAGCGGUUUGCUGGGCCAUCACUGACGCUGAGGCACGAAAGCGUGGGGAGCAAAUA
rnacentral:rRNA from 1 species